CUGAUGUGCUUCAGGGACUGAAACGGUUUUCUUGCCCCUUUUAAAGGGGUCCUGUCUAAAAUCUGCGAGAUCGGAGAUGACGGAGCUGUGAGCAGCAAAGCCUGGACGCUGGAGACUCAUGAAAGAUGAAUGAUGUCUAAGCAUUAAUUCAACGGCAAUAUAAACUCCCAUCUAUCUUUAUAUGUGUCAAAGGUCUGGCUCAGAUUGUUGAGUGUGCUGACGCCAGAUCUAUCAAGGUUCCAGCCAAGUUCUAAAAAGUCAGAACAUUCACUAAAAUAAUUACUGGGCAAGAAACUGGAGCACUGGGAAGAUUUCAUGAAAAUAGAGUCCAAGUUGUAACAAGCUCAGACUGAAAAAGGCAAAUAACUCCAGCGGACAGAGAAACAAGCACAACCAAAGAAAAACAACUUUCUCUGCUUGUGUCUUGUCCAUUAAGACUAAACAAAUCCCCCAGGUCCUCUGUCCUCUGUCUGUCUGCCCCCCCCCCCCUUUCUCUGGCUCUGGCUCAACACCACAAGAUGAUCGAUAAGAAAAUAUUAUUCUGCACUUUUAUGAGUCUUCCUGGUGUCACUGCAGAUUCCCUGAGUCUUCAGCUGCCCUGCAGACACUUCCAGAAACCUCCAGUCUCUCAUGAUGACUAAGCUUCUUGGACCCGAGCUGGUUCUUGGACCCGAGCUGGUUCUUGGACCCGAGCUCGUCCGGUUCUUCUGCACCAGUCCAAGAACCAGUGCUGCUGAUAAUAGAUGGCGAACUGCUGAAGGAGACCAGAGUCAGGAAUGUGUGUCCGACAGUGCAGAGCUGAGACGUGAAAGGAACGGAGAGAAGAGGAGAGGGAAACGGAGCCGAUCACGUUCGAAGAGAGACGCGCGGAUCUGUUACAGCGAGGGAGGCGUGAGGGCGGGAGGCGUUCGAACGACCGAAGAGACGCCAUUCACAGGUCCAGAGGAGGAAGCCCGGCACAGACGGUGACGUCAGGGCUGCUCCUGCACGGAGGCUCUCUGACUUGCCAAACGAUUUGAGAAAAGACGAAUAAAACUGCGCAAAUCUACAUGUUUUAUCUGUAAAGGUCAAAGGUGACGCAAGCAACCGAAGGUUUCGGCGUGAGACAGGAUGUGCAAAAUGUGGCAGAAGCAGUCGCACGAGUGAGAACGUUAAACACGGGUUUUUAAAAAAUAAAUAAAAGGAGCAUUUAUUCUAAUAUUUAUUGUUGUAGCGCGUUCUUUCAGCAGUGGGAGGACAUCUGGACACAUCUGGGACGGCUGUCGGUGACGUUUACCUUUCAUUCUCCUGUGCUUGUCUUUUGGGGGGGGGGG
rnacentral:lncRNA from 1 species